UUAAUAGGGCUGCAUAGCAGGUUACUUUGAUAUAGUAAAUUGUGAAUUUAUUUUCCGUUAAUACU
rnacentral:tRNA from 1 species